UCGAUUAGAGUUUGAUCCUGGCUCAGAUUGAACGCUGGCGGCAUGCCUAACACAUGCAAGUCGAACGGCAGCACAGUGUGUAGCAAUACACAUGGGUGGCGAGUGGCGGACGGGUGAGUAAUGCUUAGGAAUCUGCCCAAUGGGGGGGGAUAACCACUCGAAAGAUUGGCUAAUACCGCAUACUCCUUUACAGGGAAAGCGGGGGAUCGAAAGACCUCGCUGCGAUGGAUGAGCCUAAGUCCGAUUAACUAGGGUGUGGGGUAAUGGCCUACCAGGGACAAGAUCGAUAGGUGGUCUGAGAGGACGGCCAGCCACACUGGAACUGACACACGGUCCAGACUCCUACGGGAGGCAGCGGUGGGGAAUAUUGGACAAUGGCGGCAACCCUGAUCCACCACUGCCUGGUGUGUGAAAAACGCCUGCGUGUUGUAAAGCACUUUCGGCUGGGAAGAAAAGUCAGGCGUUAACACCGACAGGCCUUGACGUUACAGGAAAAACAAGCACCGGCCAACUCUGUGCCAGCAGCCGCGGUAAUACAGAGGGUGCAAGCGUUAAUCGGAAUCACUGGACGUAAAGCGUGCGUAGGUGGUCAAGCAAGUCUGAUGUCAAAUCCCCGGGCUUAACCUGGGCACUGUAAUCCAUACUACUUGGCUGGAGUAUGGUAGAGGGAAGUGGAAUUUC
rnacentral:rRNA from 1 species